rnacentral:rRNA from 1 species
AACGAACGCUGGCGGCAUGCUUAACACAUGCAAUUCGAACGAAACCUUCCUGCUUACUGGCUACUCGAUUCGUAACCCGUUGGAUCACGCCCUUAUGAUCUGCACUACUCUUCGAAAUGGGCCUUAAUACCUGAUUCUGUCUUCGGACCAAAGAGUUAUAUCCUGUGGUUGUUCACGCGUUUGAUUAGCUAGUUGUUAGGGUAAAAGCUUUCCACGGCGACGAUCCAUAGCUGGUUUGAGAGGACGAUCAGCCACACUGGGACUGAGACACGGCCCAGACGCCUACGGGAGGCAGCAGAGGGGAAUAUUGGACAAUGGGCGAAAGCCUGAGCCAGCAAGGCCGCGUGAGUGAUGAAGGCCUUAGGGUUGUAAAGCUCUUUUAACCGGGAUGAUAAUGACAGUACCGGGAGAAUAAGCGCCGGCUAACUACGUG